UACGUAGGGAGCAAACGUUGCUCGGAAUUAUUGGGCGUAAAGCGCACGUAGGCGGCUUUGCAAGUCGGAUGUGAAAUCCCUCGGCUUAACCAAGGAAGUGCAUCCGAAACUGCAGAGCUUGAGUACUUAAGAGGAUCGCGGAAUUCCCGGUGUAGAGGUGAAAUUCGUAGAUAUCGGGAGGAACACCAGUGGCGAAGGCGGCGAUCUGGGAAGAUACUGACGCUGAGGUGCGAAAGCGUGGGGAGCAAACAGG
rnacentral:rRNA from 1 species